rnacentral:tRNA from 1 species
UGGGCUGUAGCUCAGUGGUAGAGCGCUUGCCUAGCAUGCAUGAGGCACUGGGUUCGAUGCUCAGCACCACAU